rnacentral:misc_RNA from 1 species
AAUUCUCAAACUGAGAUGCUUUUUUGUUUCUCGGCUUGGUGUUGGGCUUUGCAGUCCCCUUUGAUUGGGAUGGCUGGCCUCAAAAGCAUUAGCCGGCUUUUCAUGUGGCAUUGGUUCUACUCAGCGUGAUAAUAAUCUGACCGCCGAGGACAUCUUUCGAGAUGGCCAAUUCUCAUUUGGGCUGCUUGGUUGAGCAGAUUCUGAUCAGAUCUGUUCCACUUUUCAAC